rfam:Gossypium raimondii Chr10_contig_1136, whole genome shotgun sequence.
UCUUAAAAAAUUCAGCCAUUUAUAUUAUUAAAAAUUGGCAUGGCUGAUAGAAUAAUCAAACAGUGAGACAUAGCAUAUCAUGGGUACCUCAUCUUGACAUACUGAGACUAGUUUUUAACAACAAAAAUAGAUGAAAUCUUUAAUA